UACGUAGGGGGGCAAGCGUUGUCCGGAUUUAUUGGGCGUAAAGAGCUCGUAGGUGGUUUGUCGCGUUGUUCGUGAAAACUCACAGCUCAACUGUGGGCGUGCGGGCGAUACGGGCAGACUUGAGUACUGCAGGGGAGACUGGAAUUCCUGGUGUAGCGGUGGAAUGCGCAGAUAUCAGGAGGAACACCGGUGGCGAAGGCGGGUCUCUGGGCAGUAACUGACGCUGAGGAGCGAAAGCGUGGGGGAGCGAACAGG
rnacentral:rRNA from 1 species